rnacentral:lncRNA from 1 species
AUUUUAAUAUGGAAGACGAAUGUUUGAACAUUGAGCUCUACAGCAGUAUCCUAACAUUCGAAACAGAGAAAGUCUAAACUUAAUCAGUUUCUUCCAUUCUAGUAAUUAUUGUAUUUUAAUAUGGAAGACGAAUGUUUGAACAUUGAGCUCUACAGCAGUAUCCUAACAUUCGAAACAGAGAAAGUCUAAACUUAAUCAGUUUCUUCCAUUUUUAUUGUGAAAAUCUUUUAAAAACAGGGGGACG